rnacentral:lncRNA from 1 species
UGAAGAUAUUCACUACAGACUUAUGAUAGUAAUAACUAUCUACAGACAAUGUUUAAAUACUUUAUUUCAAUUAAUGCAGGUUAAUCCUCACAACAAUCUAUGGUGCUAGUGAACAUUACUAUCCUCAUUGUACAGAUGAGAAAACUGAAACAUUGAGAAGUCAAGUAACUUGCUCAAGAUUAUAUAGCUAGUGCAUAGAGGGGCAAAGAUUUGAACCAGAUUGCCUGGUUCCACAUGCACUUUAACCUGCUUUAUUUAGGCUUUUGAAAGCAACCUAAAUAGCUAACAUUGACUAAAUAAGUGCAGUAUACCUGGUCUGUGUGACAUUUUGCAGGUAUUAAAAAGUGAACAUUCUGAACCCUUUUAGCAAUAUGGCAAAUACUUCUGAUGUGAUGUAUGCAUAUAAAUAUGAUCGAAAGCAAAUAUCCCAAAAGGUUGAUGGCAGUUAUGUCAGGUUAGUAGCACAAUAGUUUCUUUUCUCAUUUUCUCACAUUUUUAGUAAUGUGUGUUGCCUAUAUUAAAAAACAAAUAUUAAAAAGUAGUAGCAUGUAUUAGAUCAGAGCAUGGGCUCAGACUGCCUGUGUCAUCUCUUAUUAGAUGUAUGACCAGGGACAAGUUAUUGACCUUUUGUUUCUAAGUCUCUAAGUUUAUCCUGUAAAAUGAAGAUAAUUGUAGUAACUACCUAAUAACAUGAUUGUAAGGAUUAAAUUAUUUAGAACACUAUUUGUUACUUGGAAAAUAUGCAAUCAUAAGCUAUUUUGUUGUUAUUGUUAUUUUACUACCAAAGCUUAUUGUUUCAGAGCCCCUAGGUGACCAGGCAAAAUGGCAGUUCCUUCCAGCUGGUCCUCAGAUGGGCACAUCUAUUAGCCUCUGCUCUUGUAAGAAGUUAGCUGCAGAACCCACAUGUGAAUCCUUGUAG